UUAUGUUUGGAUGAUUAUUAUCUACUUUUCUCUUUUUUUUUUCAAACCUAUUGUACAAUUUUUCUCUUCUAUUUUAAAACACAUAUUUUUAUCCUGUGUUACUUAAGGUAGUUGGAUUCGGUCAUAAAAGAGGCCACUUCGUAUCAGAACACCCUCACAUAUUUGCCUAAUAAUCCCUUUUAAGUAAUCUGGCCCGUUGUUAAUGGCUUUUUUUUUAAGCCAGUCAUACACUUAGAAUCAAAAUUAGCAUCUAAAUGAGGAUGUUUUAAAAACACAUGCCUAGGGGUUGCUGGUUUCACCUUUUUUAUAGUUUGCCAUGUUAAAUUAUGUAAAAGAGAAAUGGUAUUUUAGUAUUUAAUGAGCUAAUGCAGAACCUAUUGAAACUGCACCCAUCCCCCCCCUUUUCCCUUAUACAGCCUACCUAAUGCUUUUUAAGGUAUGAGAAAUGGCCACGAAUUUCAAAGCAUGUGUCAGAAUGCAGAGAACCCUUUCCUUCUCAGCAUCUACCUCAUAUCAAAAGCAAGAUAUUAUGAGUAAAAAACGCUAAGUGUUGCAAAUCUGGCUUUAUGAUCAAACAUUGUUAUCUGAUAUUGUGCACAGUAAAAUUAAUUAACUUAGCAUUUAAUUUUUCUAGGAAAAUUUAUUACGGUUGACAUAAUGUUACAGUUACAAUUCAAUUAACCAAAAAAAAUUCAUUAGAUAAAUCAAGAAAUGAUGACACAAGAAGAAGAAAAAUGAUACAUCCGUUCAAAAAUGUCCCAAGAACAUUUUUAAAAUUAUGGUCAGAGAAGUUACAAAAUAGUAUGAAGAAAAAUAUCAAGUCAGGGGUUAUACUAGAGACCAGUGUAUUUUAGCUGGAUGUCAUGAACUUUUCCAGAAAAUUAGAUUGAUUCUCUGGUAGUUUGGUUCUACAGGAGAAAUAAGUGCUCCAUUGUUUAAGUCAUUUAGAAAUAGAUGACACCUAAUGGUUAAGGACUAUGGUAUAGAAGAGGGAAGAAGGGAAUGAUUAGAUGAAUGGAUUGCUUCUUUCCGUAAUUCCAAAGAUUUUAUUUUGUAGUGCACAAAAUUAAGGUAGAAGAGGUUCUAUGUGAGAUUUGAUAAGGAUGACAAUGAUAAUGAUGAUUUCUGCUUAAAUAAAAAAGCGAUCUUUAGUGGAAAGAUCCUAGAGGAAAAAAAAAAUGUAUCAAAACCACAGGAGAUUUGCAAGUGAUGAACUUAAACUCUGGAAUUUCAAAGCACUGGGAUCUAAGGUGAUUAUUAUUAUCAUUAUCAUUAUUAUUAUUCUCCACUUGUAGCAUAUGGAAGUUCCCAGGGUAGGGAUCAAAUCUGAGCCACAGCUGUGACCUAUGCCACAGCUGUGGGAACACCAGCUCCUUAACCCACUCCAGGCUGGGGAUUGAACCUAUGCCUCUGAAGUGACUGGAGCUGCUGCAAAGACAACACCGACCUUCAGUCCACUUUACCACAGUGGGUACUCCCCAUGGAGAUUCUUUUAUUCUAUUUCUCCAGUUUCUCUUCUGUUUCCUGGGCUGUUUCUCUCCCCUCUCAUCCAUUCCCUUACUCCCUACACAAUCGCUCCAUUCAUAUCUUUAAACCAACUUCUUUCUCCCUUUAGGAGAUCAACUACACUUUUCAUUCAAUUGUUUUUUGCUAGAUAGAAGCUAACAUAACACCAUCUUCAUAGAAAAUCACAUUUCGCCUCCUCUUUUGAAUAUUUCUUAUUUAAAAUAUUUUUCUUAUUAUGGUAUUUUCAGUACAUGAUUAAAUCAGACUCAUUUUUUAAUGGUCAAAAUUUGCAUUUGUGUCUAAGUAGAAAUUAAGAGUUGCCAUUCUCCCUAUAUUGCUAAUCACUUCUUAGAAAUGACCACUAACAAUAUUUUGAUACAUAUUUGAUGUUCAUGCAAACAUCCUUAUAUAUAUAUGAGUGUGUUUAUACUAUUUUUUACACAGUAUCAGUUAGUUCUCUGCUAAUAGAUAUUUUCGUUGGUUCCAGUAUCAUACUAUUACAUGUGGUGCUGGGAUUAUCAUCUUUGAAUUUAAGUACAUGCUGGGCCAAAUAUAAAAUAUUUACUGGGUUAUAUCUCUAAGUUUGAUUUUUUCCCAAAAAGCUUGAAAUUACGGCCCAAGUGUAUAUGAAACUUGCUGUUUCAUAUUCAUAUUUCACCAGGAGAGAAUCAGUAUUAUCAAUCUUUUAAUCUGUGCCAAUCUACUAAGUGAAAAUUAUUUAUCGUUGUUUUAAUUCAUGUUUUCCCCUUUUGUAUAGCAUUAUGCUUUUUUUGUGUGUUUACUGGCACUUAUACUUUUUUCUUUGGACAGCUUUUUGGCCACUUUAUUGUUAACUCCUUAUCAGUGAGUGAGAGUUCCUUGUAUAAUAUAUGCACUAUUAUACACAUUUUCAUGGGGGAAAUAUUUUUAGAAUGUUUCUUGCUUUUGAAGUUUGUAUUAUUUUAAUAGAGUCAAAUUCAUUAACCUUCUUUGCACUAUUUUUUUCAUGCCAUAAACACAAAAGUUUUUCUUGACAUAGUGUUUUAAUUUUCAACAGAAUCAAUGAAUCCUUGUUGUUACCAGAACACUGCCUCUUCCACAGGACUAGCAGGUAACACUAUAAUUACCUGCUUCCAUCCUUAGAUUGUGCAUUCUAAUAAGGCAGGGGUUGUGUCAUAUUUGUUUUUAUUUUCUAGUCAACAGACAAGAUAAAAUAACAUGACACCUAACAGGAGCUGGUAAAUAAACAAGGAAAUGAACAUUAGUAAAAGUAAGUAAAUGAAUUAGUGAAUGAAUGAAUAAGUAAUAUUUAAAGUUUAGCAUCAGUAUGAUCACCAUGAAAUAAACACAUAACCUUGAUAUGGAAUUAAUCAUAUUCAUUUACAAAAUCAUAAAGUUUUAAUUCUGAAAAGUCACUGUUAAUUAAUAAUCAUUUUCUACUGAGCAGUUUUUUAAAUUCUCCAUUAAAUCUUUUCUUUAUGUCUAAUUUUAAUGUCUUUUGGCCUGUUUCUUUUCUAUUGUAAUUAUUUUUCUCAUCUUAUAAGUCAAAUAGUUUUAUACUCUGCUUCUUUUUAUUUUAGCAGCCUUAGUAUUUUAUGAGGCAAACUGCCUUGUUAACAAGCUGAACCAGAUUUUUUAAAAAGUGCUGAAUGCCAUGUCUAACUAAAUUGAAUCCUACCCAAAGUAAUUAAAGGUGGGGACAUAGUCACUUAAGAACAAAAGAAGCCAAGUAUGUGAGACCAUUAGGACUCUUUCCUCCCUCUCCUCUACUUCUUCUGCUGUCAGUUCAUUCUCAUGCUGGAUUAUGCUCAUUACCAGAAACAUACCCAUUUAUAUCUUUGGGAUUCAAUACCUUUAAAGCUUAGCAUCCAGAGAAAUAGAGUUUUGCCUUCUAGGUCUGCAUUAAAACAAACAAAAUCAAAUAAGAGAAUGAUCAAUUGGCCAGACACAGGUCAGAGAGAUACCCCUUGGAAUAAUCACGGUAGCUGCGGUGACAAAUACACACUGAUUGGGUGAUGAUGGCCCUGUGACAACUGAGGAAUAAAUUCUGUUAUCAAAAAGCACAAAAGAAAGUUAUAAAUAUCUCAGCAAGUGUCCUGGUUAAAACCUAUGGAUCUGAAGUCAGACAGACCUAUGUCUUGCAAUGCUUUGUGACUUCAAUUUCCUGGACCUCAGUUUCCUCAUCUGUAAAUUAGGGUAGUCAAAGUAAACAUAAAGGGAUGUUGUAAAAAUUCAGUGACAUAAUAUAAGGAAAGUGCUUAGCAGAUGACCAUUCAAUAAAUCCUAGCUAUCAUCCUCCUCCUCAAUGUCAUCCUCAUUUUCAUCACUACUAAAUAAUCUGAAAGUUUUGUAAAUGGGAUAACAUUUUCACAAAGAAAAAUAAUUUUUAAAAUAAAGAGAGCAGUGGACAAUUUUGGCAAAAAAAAAAAUUGGAAAGUAAAUUGUAAGAUGCAAGUGCUCAAAUACUUCAGAUAAUAUAGAGACUAAUAAUAAUAGCUAUAAAUUGUUAGCCCCUUAGCCCUGUGUUAACAGCUUUAUAUUACAUAUCAUCUCAUUUAAUCUCACAAAAACUCUAGGAAGCUCCUAUUCUAUAAAUAAAGAAAUGGCAGCCUGUAAAGAUUAAUAACUUAUUAAAGUCACUAAUGAUAUUAAGUUAAACCAAGCCAAAUUUGUAUAAGAUAGCUUUGCUCAGUGAUUUAGUCAUAGGGCCGCUGGAUAUGAUUCAGGAAAACUGCUCUGUUUCUAACUAUGUGGAUAAAAAGCACAUUUUCUGAGAUUUCAUUUCCAUGUUUGUCACAUAGAGAUAGUACCAAACUCUGCUGGGAAGGAGAGUGCAACACUCUGGGUGUCUGACACACCCACAGCCCUAUCCUCCACAAAGAACAGGAAAUAACUGAUCAACUCUUGGGUGUCUGUGUUAGAGAUUCACACCUCUAACACAAAUAGAUGGUUGACACGAAAUCACCACGAAUAGGCUGGCUCAACAUUCAUGGAUACAGAGAAACAGUGGGUAUCUGGACCCACUGAAGGCAAAAGAAACACAGAGAGAAGCCAGUAAACAAAAACCCAUGAAUGAGUGGAAAUCAAGGUUCAGUGGGAAUCCCGAAGUUCAAAGUAGAGAACAGAGUAAAUCCAGAGGCAGAGAGACACUGAGACAAACAUAAAUAGAUGUCUAAACCCCAUCACAACUACCAAGGGGAAAAAACACGUUUUAAAUGUGCUGUCAGAAGUGCUCUAAAUCAAUGAUGUAAAUUUUGAAGUCUAAGCACCCUGACUUCCUCUUACAAGAUCAUUAAGAUGGGUUCCUUAUUCACUUCCCUAUCCACCCCCAAAACCACCGUUAUCUCAAGUAACCUGAUCACAUUUCUGUGACUUGAAACCAGAAAUCUGACAAGCAGCCUUAUGAACUUCAAAUGAAGAUUAAAAUUAAAUAUGAAAAUGCCUUAAAAUACCACACAAAGGGCCUAUUUUUAUAGCAAAGGGAUAUAACAACUGUAUGUGUCCAAAAAGACCAAACUUCAAGAAAGAUAAUUACUUAGAAUGAAUAGGAAAAAAUAAACAAAUUAAACUAUUUAUAUACACCAAAAAGGCAAAUAUGAAAUAUAUUAGAAAGGCAUUUUUUAAGUCUCUGAUUUCUUUGAGAGUUCCAAUGAGGAUAAUUGUCACACUAUGUUCUCCAUCU
rnacentral:lncRNA from 1 species